rnacentral:lncRNA from 1 species
GAAAAUAAUUUUCUUAAUAAAAAAAUUGUAUUUACUUAGAAGCAUUCAGAAUGUCAACAAAACAGCUGCCAUUUUUUUGCAAUUACAGAGUGGUAUUCAGUUAACAGAACAACAAUUACCUUCGUAUAAGCUGCAUCAGAGACAACUGAAGAUGGAAAAAAAAAAAAAAGAAAACCAAAAGAAAAAAAAAAACAAAAACAAAAAACAAAAAAAGAAAGAAACCAAAAACCAAACUACUGUCCCCAUAUAUAACUAAUUUGUGCUGUGCACCAACAAGAACCUGCUUUAAUUUCCAUGCCAAUUUACAACCCACAGACUGUACCAGGCAAGGUUAGUGGCUAUUGAAAAUACCACCAGGACAGGGCUAGCUAAAGACACAUUCGGUAGUGUGUUAACUAUACAAAAAAAAAAAAAAA